AACCUAGCACACCUGCGGUGUGUACCUGCGGAGGGAUCAUUAUUGAAUAAACUUGGUCAAGCUGUUGCUGGUCCUUCGGGGCAUGUGCACGCUUGCCACCAAUUUUAACCACCUGUGCACCUUUUGUAGAUUGGAAACGUUUCUCGAGGCAACUCGGAUUGAGGACUGCUGUGCGCAAGCCAGCUGUUCUUGUGUUUCUCAAUCUAUGUUUUUAUAUACUCCUAAUGUAUGUAUCAGAAU
rnacentral:misc_RNA from 1 species